UAUGUAUAUACAAUCGAUGGGGGAGCAGUAACUCCCACUGAACUCCGGCAGGGAUGUAAGAUGAUCCCGGGUGAGUUGUGUGUGUACGGGUGUGCGUGUGCGAACGAGUGUGUGUGCGUGUGUGUGUGGGCGCGGGGCCGCCCGAGGCCAGUUGGGCGCCACCCGGCACACCGCAGGGCCGCACGCCGUCGCCGCCGCCGCUCUUCUCCCGCCCUCCCUCCGACACGGCCGCCGCGCGCCGUCCGCCGCCGCAUCCCAGGGCGACACCUGCGACGACCGCGCUACCUGCUUCCGCUCGGCGCUGCUGCGACCGCGGAUUCUGCUGACGGAGGCCUCGCGGAGAGCACGUGCGCCGCGCAUUCGGGAGAGGAAAACCGAGGGAGACAUAGCGGUGUUGACGGAAGUGUGUGUGCGCGAAGUGAGUCAUUUAUCAGUUGAAGCUAUUAAGUCGAAAGCAGGUUGUGUGCGCGCAUGACGAGUAAAAAGCACAGCAAGGACUGAUAAACGAAAUUAGAGAAGGGGCCGCAAAAAGAU